GGAUACCCGAGGGAAACUUCGGUUAAUACGGUAUAAGACCACACUACCGCAUAGUAGAGGGGUAAAAGGGGCAACCUGGUAUGAGAUGGACUCGCGUCGCAUUAGCUAGUUGGUGAGGUAACGGCCCACCAAGGCGACGAUGCGUAGCCGACCUGAGAGGGUGAUCGGCCACAUUGGGACUGAGAUACGGCCCAGACUCCUACGGGAGGCAGCAGUGGGGAAUAUUGGGCAAUGGAGGAAACUCUGACCCAGCAAUGCCGCGUGAAUGAAGAAGGUCUUCGGAUUGUAAAGUUCUUUAGUCAGGGAAGAAGUCAAUGACGGUACCUGAAGAAUAAGCUCCGGCUAACUACGUGCCAGCAGCCGCGGUAAUACGUAGGGAGCAAGCGUUGUUCGGAAUGACUGGGCGUAAAGGGUGCGUAGGCGGUUGUACAAGUUAGAAGUGAAAUACCCAGGGCUUAACUCGGGUGCUGCUUCUAAAACUGUAUGACUUGAGUGCAGUAGAGGUUAGUGGAAUUCCUAGUGUAGCGGUGGAAUGCGUAGAUAUUAGGAGGAACACCAGAGGCGAAGGCGGCUAACUGGACUGCAACUGACGCUGAGGCACGAAAGUGUGGGGACCAAAAAGGAUUAGAUACCCUGGUAGUCCACACUGUAAACGAUGGAUACUAGAUGUAGGAGGUAUCGACUCCUUCUGCGUCGCAG
rnacentral:rRNA from 1 species